CCUAUAAAUAAAGGCCCAGAGGAGACCCCCGAGGUAUGAAUUUUUUUCUCUCCCAAAAUGCUUGCUCCUUCCUUCUAUUGUCCAGAAUUCUAACUUAAACAUCAGAGGAUCCCCACCGGAGCCACCUUCAGUCAAAGACUUUUCUUGCAGGUUCUAUCGCCGCCAUCCAGCCGUCGCCGACUUGCAGUCACCGUCAAGCUCUAACGAUCCGACUUAAAGACGAAAUUCUGCAUCAACAGAUUGGCUCUAGAGGAAGGGCUCAGGCCCAUUUAUGAGAAGGAGCAAAUAUUUAAUAGGAAGAGAUUCAUCACAC
rnacentral:lncRNA from 1 species